rnacentral:tRNA from 1 species
GGGCCCGUGGUGCAACGGCAGCACGCCGCUCCUGCAAAGCGGAGAUGGGGGUUCGAGUCCUCACGGGUCCA